AAACAUUACCAAACAGUCCCUAAGUUUCAGCUGCGCUAAAGGAAAUUCCGAGGCAAGUUUUGGCGAGUUUUGGUGAAUUUUGGGAAAGGUUCAAGAGACGACGAGGCGAGCAUAGUUAAGAGUAAUCCGUAAGAGGUACAGAUGAUUGGUUUGCUGAUCCGCUCGCUUAGGACAUCCACCAUGUUGGUCGACAGUGCUCCUUUGUCCGGAGCCCUAUUUUGGUACUGACACUUUCUGUUGUAUAUAUAUAUAUGUUGUUCAGGGUACGGCGGGGCCCUGUCCCGUCAUAUGACUAGGAUAUCAUUCUGUAGAGGUCUGUAGACAUGAGA